rnacentral:rRNA from 1 species
CCUACGGGAGGCAGCAGUGAGGAAUAUUGGUCAAUGGACGAGAGUCUGAACCAGCCAAGUAGCGUGAAGGAUGACUGCCCUAUGGGUUGUAAACUUCUUUUAUAAAGGAAUAAAACGAGGCACGUGUGCCUUUUUGCAUGUACUUUAUGAAUAAGGAUCGGCUAACUCCGUGCCAGCAGCCGAGGUAAUACGGAGGAUCCGAGCGUGAUCCGGAUUGAUUGGGUUUAAAGGGAGCGUAGAUGGGUUGUUAAGUCAGUUGUGAAAGUUUGCGGCUCAACCGUAAAAUUGCAAUUGAUACUGGCAGUCUUGAGUACAGUUGAGGUAGGCGGAAUUCGUGGUGUAGCGGUGAAAUGCUUAGAUAUCACGAAGAACCCCGAUUGCGAAGGCAGCUUACUAAACUGUGACUGACAUUGAUGCUCGAAAGUGUGGGUAUCAAACAGGAUUAGAUACCCUGGUAGUC